rnacentral:rRNA from 1 species
AGUGAACGCUGGCGGUAGGCCUAACACAUGCAAGUCGAACGGCAGCACAGUAAGAGCUUGCUCUUACGGGUGGCGAGUGGCGGACGGGUGAGGAAUACAUCGGAAUCUACUUUUUCGUGGGGGAUAACGUAGGGAAACUUACGCUAAUACCGCAUACGACCUACGGGUGAAAGCAGGGGAUCUUCGGACCUUGCGCGAUUGAAUGAGCCGAUGUCGGAUUAGCUAGUUGGCGGGGUAAAGGCCCACCAAGGCGACGAUCCGUAGCUUGUCUGAGAGGAUGAUCGGCCACACUGGAACUGAGCCACGGUCCAGACUCCUACGGGAGGCAGCAGUGGGGAAUAUUGGACAAUGGGCGCAAGCCUGAUCCAGCCAUACCGCGUGAGUGAAGAAGGCCUUCGGGUUGUAAAGCCCUUUUGUUGGGAAAGAAAAGCAGCAGGUUAAUACCCCGCUGUUCUGACGGUACCCAAAGAAUAAGCACCGGCUAACUUCGUG